rnacentral:lncRNA from 1 species
AGGACUUUUCCAAGGCUUGUAAUGAGGUUGGGCUAACGAGAAAAAUUGGUUUUUUUGGAAUACAAAAUCCUUGAGUUAAGAGAGCUAUCAAAGUAUUCAACAUUUAAGCACAACUCUCUUCCUCACCACUCUCACUCGUUCCCAACUUUUUCCCUUUUUCUUUUUCUUUUGCAUUGAGCCCAUCUUCAUGCUUUUCUUCUUUUCUUUUCUUUUUCUCAUGAAUUUUUCUUUUCACAACAUUUGAGCUCAAUGCUUUUCACUUGCCUUUCAAUUUCCCCCAUGC